UUAACGCACUGUAGACUCAUCUAGGUGAGUAGCUCCUAAUAAAAAAUCACUUGCUUAAAUCUGUCAGACUUACCUUAGGCACCAACUGGUUAAUUAGUUUCGAUUAGGUCUAUCAGAAGAUUCGUACUCAACCACGGAGCCAUGAUCAUGGUCCAUUUAUUAGGGUCAAACACAUAGACUUGAUCAAACUUCAACUACUG
rnacentral:lncRNA from 1 species